rnacentral:rRNA from 1 species
UACGUAGGGUGCAAGCGUUGUCCGGAAUUAUUGGGCGUAAAGAGCUCGUAGGCGGUCUGUCGCGUCGGCUGUGAAAACUCGGAGCUCAACUCCGGGCCUGCAGUCGAUACGGGCAGACUGGAGUUCGGCAGGGGAGACUGGAAUUCCUGGUGUAGCGGUGAAAUGCGCAGAUAUCAGGAGGAACACCGGUGGCGAAGGCGGGUCUCUGGGCCGAUACUGACGCUGAGGAGCGAAAGCGUGGGGAGCGAACAGG